rnacentral:lncRNA from 1 species
GCUUUUUCAUGAGACCUGUUUAACCUACCGCACAUAUUUCAAACAAAAUAUUCUUUUUCUUCAUUUGCAAUUUCGAAAUAGUGGAUCAUACUCUAUCAAAGUUUCUUAAUGAUCGCUUUCUAAAGUUUUUCCUCCCUCAGCUCACUACUGAGGACCUGCGGCCUGACCCAAACAGGAAGUUAUACAAAUGACUGUUUUUCCAGGAUUGGAUUAAAUAGCCAUUUAAAAAAAAGAGGGGACAAAAGAUACCCAAGGGACAAUCAAACUUAUAAAUCUAAAACAAACUGACAACGCCAUGGCUAAAAAUGAAAAAAACAACAUGAACCCAACCAAAUACAUGUACUAGGGGUGAUCUCAGGUGCUCCCAAAGUGUAAGCAGAUCCUGCUCCACAUGUGGCACCAGUCAUGUUGCUUAUGUGAUAACAAAUCCGGUAAUUAGUCUACCUGUUUUUUAGCCCCGACCCUAACUUUUUUAUUUGAUCUUAAAAAAAAAAAAAAAAAAAUUGUAUCAACCGACCCCGUUUUUGACACAGGCUUCUGAUAGAUGACAUAAUAUUUUUUCUCUCUUGCUUCUACUUGCAUAGAAAGCCAGUAAAACAUUUUAUUAAUGUCAAAAGGUAUUCCAAAUAGGUUAAAAUCCAAGAAAUUUGCACAGCAGGUGCUUCAAAAACAUUGCAAAUGGCACACUUCCGGUUUUUGAAACUAAUUACGGAUCCGGACUUGGAAAAACCAUGAUAAUUUUCCAGAUUUCAUUUCUGAUGUCAAAAAAAAAAAAAAAAAAAAAAAGAAUUCCGACCUACCGACCCUAUUUUUCAAAAUGAUGUUACCGGAAACACAUAUCUUUUUUUUUAGGCCUAUACUAAAAAAAAAAUAAUUAAACAAAAAAAUGUAACA